UGAGGGGGAUAGAAAACAGAAAGAAAAAAAAACGAAAAAGGACGGCCUUCUUCUUCGUAUUACAUAGUAGAAAAACCCAGAAAUUUCCAUAAAAUUCACCAUGAAGCUCUAGUUGAAAAGGAAAGAAACUUUUCUUUUCCCAGACGAAACAGAGUUUCUAUUUUUGUAGUCUGAGUUUCGAAAGAUUGUGAGUUAGUUCGAGUUUGUCGCUGUUUGGAGGUUCUUCGGUCGUGGUCUGGUUUUCCGGCGGAAGUUCCGUUUGCUCGGAAGAUUCUGUUUUCUUUCACUUCGUCAAUAGAGAUUCUUUUCCUUUUUUUAAAAAAACUUUUAUUCUAUGUCCAUAUUUAUGCUCUUGUCAGUGUUUAAAUGAAUGGUUUUGGUUUCUCACUUAUUGUUUUUUUUUAUCAUGAGGAUGCUUUGAUUUUGCUGUAAUGGUGAUUAAUUCAAAAAUCUUAGGGAAGUUUUACUCAUUUUUGAUAGGGUGGGCUUUGGGGUUGCUAAUCUGGGAAUAAACAUUGGUUGGGACCUUGUUUAAUAACUUUAAAUGGACCCUUAUCCUCGAUUGAGUAUGUAUUUGAGGAAAUAAUAUUUUUUUAGGCAAAUCACUGAUUUCUUCCUCUUGAUUGAAUAUGUCUUCAUUGAAUUACAUCUGUUAUUUGAGUUUUAGCAUGUUAAAUAGUUUAGCAAACUCAGAACUUGGUUUAAUAAAAGUUAAAUGGAAAACUGAAAUAAAAGAAAGAAAGAAAGAAAAAUUAUGUGCAUAAUGAUGCCUGCCACUGCUCAAGACAUAUAGUCCAUUAAGCUGGGUCCGUUUUUAUGUUACCACUUGUAUUUACAUUACUCUGUUAGUUGGAUAAACAUUGUGAAAAAAUAAUAUUUUCUGCAGAUUCUUUAACGUCUUCAUGCCCUUUGUAGCCGUUUUGAUCAAUUAAUCUAUUUUUUUUAUGAAGUUAUCUCGUUCAUGUAUUUUAGGUUGUGAUAUUUGCUCAAAUAAAUUGGAACUAUUUAAUUUAACGUGCUUGGGAUAGAAUAUGACUCUAUAGCUUACUUGGAGUUUCUUAAUAGUGAAAGAUUUUAAAGGUUCAUUCUUUUCUUUCUUCUACUAUUUUGCUCGAAACAUCUUGCUCUAUUAGCUUUCAUCAAACCUUCUCAAUUUGUGUUGCUUGAAGUGUUAAUAAGUUUUCAUCGCUUUAUAGGGUACAAUAUUUAAUGUUCUGUUUACCUUACUCUUAUGAAUGUAAUUGCUUAGUUGUUAAAAGAAUGUCAUGGGCCAUUUUAGAUUAGGUUAUGUUGUAGAUGUAUGUUUUAGUCUUAUGAAUUUGAAUUUGUGGGUAUUAGUAGGAAAGUGUUGCUUCAUGUGUUAUUUGAGAUGAAACAAAAUUGAAAUAUGAUAAAGAGAGAUUAAUGUGUCUGCUAACAGAGAUUUAAAGUAAGAUUUGGGUUUGAUGAAAAAAUGAUUUGGGCCGUCGGGACUAUAUUGAGUUUAGAAGGAUUUACGCCAAAAUAAAUAGAGUCCAUGAGUCUAAAACGUUCCUCUCCCAUUUUUAUCAUGAAUUUUUCCAUAAUUAAUUUACACAAAAUUCUCCACAAUAAAUAGAGUCCAUGAGUCAUAAUGUUGGUGUUAUUAGAUCUUUUUUGGGUCUUUAAAGUGGGAGUUUUGUUUUGGUGGUAGAGUGGUUUGUUGGCAUUUGCUGAUUGUUUCUUUAGUCAACUGCACUUUGACUCUCUUUACAUUUCCUUUUUGAGUGAUGCCCCAGUUACUUUUCUUUGCAGAUUUGGAAUUUGCAUAAUUUUUAGUUUUGAUUUACUAAAAUAUCUCAAAAAAAUGCGAUCUUUCACUUUGGAGGAAGAAUCUGACUUGACGUACAUUUAAUUUCAGUUUGUUUCAUCUGAAUUUUUAUGUUGGUUUUGGGUCUGUUGUGAAUUUGGAGCAAAUGCGUCAAGUUUUAGUUUGUGGUAGAAAAUUUAUUUGACGGGUUUCAAAGUUUAUGGUGAUUACCUUGCUUUUUAAUAAGAUUAGAACUUAUGUGAACCUUUCUAUUAGUCUAAAUGCAAUAAUGCAUAUCUGCUUUAUCCAGUUCCUUGUUGGACAAACUCUUCAACAUAGUCUAAAGAGGUUUUAACUCUGAAUCACGUUCACUGGGUUGGCUAAUGCAACUGUGUUUAUCUGAAUGCCAAGUUUCACCUGAUAUCAUCUUUUGCCGUCUAUCUGACAAAGUAAAGUACUUAAUCGGGUUUUUGUUGUGUUGAUCAGCAUGCAUUUCUUUCUUCUGUACUCUUUUUCCCAUUUCCCAUGUCUCUGAAUGCCAAGUUUCACCUUAAAGUUCUUAUGGAAGGUGCAAUCCUUACUGAUGAUUAAUGACAUCAUAUUUUAUCGGCCUUUAUACUUAGCUAAUAUCAUUUAUUGUUCUUGUACGACUUAAAGCUUGUGUACUCAUUGUUCCACCUUGCCGUGUGCAGGUUGUGGGUAUAACUGUUUUCUUCCUGUUAUCUGUUGCCUUCUAUGCGUUUUUUGGCUCCAUUUUUAGGAAAAGGCAUCUACGGCUACAUAUCAAUUGGUGUUUAUUCCUUCUUGGCUCUGUGUGUUCACACUCUAUGUCCUGCUGAUCCCGAGAUUCUCAUUGAAGCUGACAAGUCAACGGCCUAUGAGUCACACAAUGAAAUAGAGUUGCCUGGUGAUUAUCUAAUGCUGGGGGUCCCAACAAGGGUUUCGUGAUGGAGGAACACCUGCAAGGGAUGCAUCAAGUUGCUGUGGAAAUUUUGGAGGGAUCCUAUGUUGUUGUUUUGUCAUUGAAGACUGUCGGAAGGAUGAUCAAUUGCUGCAGCACAGUGGAGAUGAAGAAGCUUUGUUCUGCACAUUGUGUAAUGCUGAGACCCCAGUGUUGUAGACUUCUGACGGUAGUGGGAUUGCUGAUUCUUGCUCAUCAGGCGACCUGAGGUAGUCCUGCAGGCGUCCGCUUGCCUUGGCGUCUCCUUCUAUAUACUAUUCUUAUUUCUUUCAUGCAUUU